ACCAUGACCACAAGAAAUGAAGUUCAUGUUUGUCCUGCAAUAAAACUGGCCACACAUCAAGAGGAAAAUGCACAGAGAAAAAAAAAAAUAGACUUCUUAAAGGAAAAAGGAGCCUGUUUUGGAUGCUCGAAAACAGAGCACAUGAGUAAAGACUGCGAAAGGGGUGUACCGGUAACUUGUGGUGUGUGCAAUCAGAGUCAUUCUGAAAUACCUCAUGUUGGACAAAAGAACAAAGAAAAGAAACCAGAACAUACAGAACAAAGUAAUGCUGUUCUCUCACCUCAUAUAUAUGGGCUUAUUUGGGCCGGAGAUGAAAACAGCUCCUCCAUUCUACCAGGACAAGUAAAGAGCUACAACGGACUCAGUGUUGCAAGGCUUCAGAGAUGACAGGGUGAGACACGCAGCAAAGGGCCACAGGCCGGGACUCAAACCUGGGGCCCCAGCAGCGAGGACGAAGCCAUCUGUUUCCAAGAUGUCAGGGAAGAAGCAAAAAGACCUGCUUUGAUUCUGGGCAGAGGAAGGUCAGCCACCACCUGCCAGCUUGCCAGGGAUGCUGGGUUAAAGUCUGGAUCAUAUGCUGGCCACCUCAAUAUUUUUUAUUUCUUUUUGGAUCUGAAAUGUCUUCACAAAGUCUAGCCACAUGUUCAAUGAAAAACACACCCACUGGCUCCGGAAAUCAAGUAAGUCCUUAAUCACAGAGGGGCAGCUGGCUGGCAGUUGGCUUCAUAUUCAGGGUUACACCAAAGAAUUAAUGGUCUUAAUUGGGCUGCUAAAUAAAAAUCCCUCAUUUUUUUACAUUAUGUCUGCUAGCCUGGCAAAAACGACAAAUGCGUAUGAACAUUCUUUCUAGUCACCAAUUUACAGAUAUUAUUUCAUGCAGAGUGAAGACAGAGAGGGAGACAGCAUGAGGAGGCCACCAGGACAGGGAGAGUAGCUGGCAUACCGGUGAAAGCAAAUAUUGAUGGUUAAGAACAAAUAUUGGUCACAACAGUCUAAUUCUACUGUUUUAAUUUAAAAUGAGACAUUACUCUUAAUCUGGCUUCAAACAUUCACAUUUUUUUCAUCAGCGACUGAAGGUCCCUUCCCCCCAGGUCUCUCUCCAAACCUUCAGUGAAACUUGGCAGCCCUGUGAUGUGUGCCAGUGGUAAACAGAAAGAGGAUAGUAAAAUUACAAAAUACAGUAAAGACCUGAGUGCAAAUAAGUUAGAUAAAUGAAAUAUUUCAUAAUAUUUUCAUCAGGGGAAUGGAGUAAAUAAUAAAGAAAAUUCUAAUCAUGAUUGAUGAUUAUUGUUUUAUAUACAUAUUUGUACAUAUAUGUGCUAUUAACGUUUCCCUGUGAGUCUCUUGAUGAAAUAGUUCCAUGCCUUAAGUCGGAAAUAAGUCAUUACCAAAUGCAGGUAAUCAUAAUGAUCCACGGUGGUUUUAAUGCCUGAACAAGAAACAAGCCUGAGACACUGUGAUUGACAAAAAAGGGAAAGAGGUCUUACAACUCUCCAGAAGACUCUGUCAAGGUGAGUCUCAAUGUCAUUGUGUGACAGUUGGCAGCCCUGUUUCAAAUCGUAAUACUGACAAUAAUCCCCCUUUUUUAUGAAAUGUAUCAGUAACCUAAUUACUUCUUUCUUCUGUAAUUGUCUGUAUUUUAAAAUAUUUUUGAAUCCUAACUGUGUAGUACAGUUCUAUGUAUUUCAUUACUCCCCAAGCCAGGUUGUAUGCCAUCUACUGGCAACAGGAAGUAAGUAUUGUGUGAUAAACAUUAUUCAGUUAACGCAAAAUUUACAGGAACAGAGAGCCACAGAGUGGACAAAACAAGUGCCAUUCAACUCCUUCACACAGUGUACAAUCUUUAUCAAAAAUGUAUAUGUAUGACAGGCAACUGGUACAUUGACUGCUUCUUUAAUAACUUUACACCCCUUAGUGUAAAGGACACUAAGUAACUCUAUCAACUCUCUAAACAUCUCUAAACACACUCUAAACAUUUUCAAAUUCAAAGAUUUUCAAACUUUUAGGAUGAUGUCAUAUGUAAUGAAAAACCAUUGCAUUACAUUCGAAACAAAUCAAAAUCAGUCAAACUGGACUGUUUUGACAGUCAUGUGUCCAGGAGCCAGUCCCCCUGACGCACAGGGGGUGAGAUCGUCCAUUCAUUCAUUUAAGGUAAAAAAAAAAUAAAAAUAAAAAAGUCAUAUAAUGUUAGUAUAAUAUACUUAUUGGAAUUGAGAUAACUGUCCAUGUUAAAGGUAGAUGUGCUUUAAAGUAUUUUUUAAUUUAUAGGAUAGUACUUUCGAUUGAUGUACAUUUUGCCCUAUGAAGAUUAGGCUGUCCUGCUAUUGGGUAGUCUGAGUUGGCAGGUAGAUUGUAGACUAUAAUUAUGGUUGAAGGAAGGUCCAUCAUUCAUACAUAUUUCUUUUUAAAAAUUAUUUUAAUCUGGUCAUGUCCAUGGAAAAGAACUUUUUCUUUUACUUACUACUCCUUGCCUCAUUGGAUGUUGAACCAAAGGGGUGGUGUUAACCUACAGCAGUGCUACAGGACAGUGAAUGUGAACAACACAAGUCAGGACCAUCAUCAUUCGGAGGACCAGAACGAACACAGUCUUAUUACAUGAUGCACUAUACAACUCUGUAUAAAGAUGGAAAUUGAUAAAGUCCACUACAUUGGAAACCGCAGGAGUAAAGCUUACUGAAUGUAAAACAGUAGCACCACCCAG